AAACGUUUAUAAGGCUUAAUACUAUUCAUCAACAUUUGAUGAACAGAACAGUGAAAACACUCUAUGUACGCGUCCCUUUUCACCUUUUCUACUUUCUUCCUCUCUACUGACUUCCUCUUUUCCCUUUCCAUUCCUUACCUUCAGCCCUAAUUUUCCCUUCUUCUCUUCAGUUUCUCAUUGAAAAAAGGGUAAAGUAAGACUAAAUCAGGCAAAGGUUCAUGUGGGCUCUCUUUCUCCGGCCACCAACUGUGAGUUCCGACAAUGCUGGCGCUGACGAUGACUUUGAGAGAAUUUCUUGGAAAAAAGUAAGAGGAAGAGAGAUAACCCAGAAAAGGGCUAAUUUCUUUGCAAAUGGGGAAAAGAAAGAUUGAAUCUUCCGGUAAGAAUCAGGAGGUUCUUAUUUCAAUUGAUGAUCUAGAAUCAACUACUUCAGAAUCUCAAGAAACUCUGGCUGUAUAUCUGCAAGGUAUUAAGGAGAGAAAACCCUCAGGGGACGGUUCGGUGAUACAAAAAAGACUUGAACACUCCAUACCUUGUUCCUCAGAAUCCGUAUCAAAUUCUUCUGGUACGCGCUCAAUGAUGGAUAGUUAUACAUUUAACUACCAUUUGGAGAUUAUAUGGAAGAGCAUUUCUGAAACCAAAAGGGAAUCAUUUGAUUAUUUGGAUGCACUUGAAUUCUACAACUUCCUGUGCAAGAAAAGUAUAGGUUGGAAACUAAAAAAACAGAAGGAGAUUUUCUCGAAGAAGUAUGUGUUUGUUCCUAUUGUCUGCUGGGAUCACUGGAGACUGGUGAUUUUCUGUCAUUUUGGUCAGUCUGUAAACUCAGACACGGGAACGAGAUGCAUCUUGUUGCUUGAUUCGAAUAAUAUGGCUGCACAUAUAAUUGGAUCUGAUUUGAGAAAGUUUGUUUACGAUAUAUUUCAAGCCCAGGGUCGAUCUGAAUCUAAAGAUGAUAUAUACCGUAUUCCUUUAUUGGUGCCACAGGUUCCCCAACAGAAAAAUGAUGUUGACUGUGGUAGAUUUGUUCUUUACUUUAUUAAACGAUUCCUUGAUGAUGCUCCAGAUAACUUCAGCAAAUCAAGUGGCUACCCUAAUUUUGUAUGAUAUCUCCCACCCUUUAAAGUUACCAUAACAUGACUUAAGAUCAUGUCUCAAUUUGUGUCUCGUCUUGCGUCCCAGCUCUGCUCAGUUUUGACACACUACCAAACUUUUAGGUUUGUUCGCUCAAAAUUUUCAUUGCUUGUGAAAAAUGCCGCAGAAUUAAACAUAUUAUGGACUAUAAGACGGGCCAAAGAUGAGACACAGAAGAGAUAAAAGAUCUUGAUUUCUAUAGCACUGUUACGCUCGUCAAUCAAAACAACCUCUUUGCUUGUGUUAUCAUUAAUAAGGGUAAAAGUUUGCCUACAUCCGACCCCAAACCACACCUGUGGGACUCCAAGGCCCGUUAAUGAUCCAACCCGUUAUUGACUCGACCUGCUAAUGAGCCGUUAAAAUGUGACCCCGCCCUUGACCUGUUGGGUUGACUCGCCUUGUUAAACACCUCUACGUGGGAGCCACUUGAUGGCAGUUUGUGUAAUGAAUGUUUUGCUAAGUUCUGUGACAAACUUGAUGAAGAGGAGAAGCCCAUACAUGAACCGGUUUUAGAACAUGGUCCAAGGAAAUCACAAAGGAUCAGGACCGUAAAGGUAUGCAAACGAAGACCACGAAAACGAGUGGCACCACAUUUUCUGAUUUUAGCAGAUGAUUCUGAUACAUCUUCAUAGUGAGGAGAUCGAUCGAGGAUUUUCAGAUUUGAAGAUUGAAGAUGCUCAUGCUGAAUGCUCAAUUUCGAAGUUUCUGAGAAGUAUACAGCAUCUGAAGAUGUAUAUUUAGUUAAUCGACUUGAGUAGAUUUUAAGAAUAGUGGCUGUAAAUUCUUAGGAGGGAGUAUCUGAAUUAAUCAUUUGCAAUGCAAUUUGUAAUAACUACGUUCUACGUAUAUGCUAAACAAUAAUAUUUUCCAAA